UACGGAGGGUGCAAGCGUUAUCCGGAUUCACUGGGCUUAAAGGGUGCGUAGGCGGGCAGGUAAGUCAGUGGUGAAAUCUCCGAGCUUAACUCGGAAACUGCCGUUGAUACUAUUUGUCUUGAAUAUUGUGGAGGUAAGCGGAAUAUGUCAUGUAGCGGUGAAAUGCUUAGAUAUGACAUAGAACACCAAUUGCGAAGGCAGCUCACUGCCCAGAUAUUGACACUGAGGCACGAAAGCGUGGGGAUCAAACAGG
rnacentral:rRNA from 1 species